rnacentral:rRNA from 1 species
CUUGUAGUACUGGGACUCUAACCAUAGGCCAUGAAUCUGGUCUUGGGACACUGUCAGGUGGGCAGUUUGACUGGGGCGGUCGCCUCCCAAAAGGGAACGGAGGCGCUCAAAGGUUCUCUCAGUACGGUCGGAAAUCGUACGUAGAGUGUAAAGGCAAAAGAGAGCUUGAUUGCAAGACAUACAGGUCGAGCAAGGAUGAAAAUCGGACUUA